ensembl:lncRNA
UUUGGGAAUUCAGGAGGGUUUUUUUGGGGGGAUUUUGGGGCAUUUUGGGGUUUUUUGGGAAGGGAAAUUCUGCAGGAAUUUGUUCCCAAAUCCCACAGGACGCGAUGAGGCUUUACUACGUGUGCACGGCCCCGCACUGCGGCCACCGCUGGACAGAGUGACCCCAAAACUGAGCCCAGAAUCGCCCCCAAAUCACCCCCAAAUCACCCCAAAACUGAGCCCAGGAGUCACCCCAAGAAUCACCCUGAAAUCACCCCAAAAUUACCCCAAAAAAUGACCCAAACACCCCUAAAACGACUUCAAAAAUCACCUCAAAAAUGACCCCAAAAGUGACCCCAAAGUGACCCCAAAUCCCCCAAAUUGACCCCAAAAUCCCCCCCAAACCCCUCUGGGAUCCCCAAAAAUUCCAGGGAAACUCAAAUUCUCGAUUUUCCCCCCAAAACCCAAACUCAGGAGAACGAAAUUUUCCGGGAAUUUUUAUUCCAAUCCACCAAAAACCGGGAAUGGGAAGGGGGAGGGGGAGGGGAUUAAAUAAGACAAAAAAGGAGGGAACGGAAAAGGGGGAAAAAAACAAAAAAAUCCCAAAAUUUUUUGGGUGGGAAUUUUUUUUUUUUUCCUCAUCCUGAAAACGCCAAAAAUUAAAAAAAAAAUCCUGGAAAAAAAAAAAUUCCGGGAUUUGGGAUGGAGGCGGUGCCAUUUAUACAAAUAUAGUGUUUUAAAAACAAGGGAAUUUCAGGAAUUUUGGGGGGAAUUUGGGGAUUUUUGGGAAUGGGGGGAGGGGGUUUUAAACCCUGAGCCGCUCCAGGAAAUAAUUUAGGGAAUUUUUUGGGAAUUUUUUGGGAAUUUUUGGGGGGGGAUGAAAGUGCCUGGAAGCUCCUUAAUUAUUAUUGGUUGUUCCUCAUGAAUUAUUCAUUAUUAUUAAUGAGCUUGGAGCUCCGCCCCCCCGGGAGGGGGAGGGGCUCUUAUUGCCUUGGGAGGGGCCCGGAAGCCUCCGGAAUCCCAGGGAAAGUUCUGGAAUUCCCUGGAAAGUCCAGGAAUUCCCUGGAAAGUUCUGGAAUUCCCUGGAAAGUUCUGGAACGUUCCGGGUCCCGUCGGGCAGGUCCCGGAUCCUUCCGGAAUCUUCUCUGGGAAUUCUGGGCUGGGAUCCCGCGGAGCCUCCCCGGCCCCAAACGGAUCCAAACGAACGGAUCCAAACCCGAUCCCGGAUCCCAAACGGAUCCUGGUGGAUCCCAGACCGAUCCCAGACCCCUCCAGAUCCUCCCAGGGCUCUGCUGAGGCGCCGGAGCCGCCGAUCCCGAUGGGAAUGUCCCAGAUCCGGGGGGAUCUCCCCGUCCCAGCGGAUCCCGGUGGAUCCCGGCGGAUCCCGCUCACGGCUCCGGGUGCUCCGGGGCCCCCGAGAAGAUCCUGGCGAAGCGCCGGAGCUGCCGCGCGGCCGAGCUCGACUCCUGCUGCAGCCGCCGGUUGUUCUGCCGCAGGUUGGCGACCUCGGCCUGCAGGAAAACCUUGUCCUGCUUCUCCUGGGGGGAAAAUCCGGGAAUUCCGGGAAUGUCCG